GGGGACCUAGCGUAGCCCGGUAGCGCAACAGGCUCCAGACCUGUAGGUCGGGGGUUCAAAAUAACGUUUGAACUCCA
rnacentral:tRNA from 1 species